rnacentral:tRNA from 1 species
GUAGUCGUGGCCGAGUGGUCAAGGCGACAGACUUGAAAUCUGUUGGGAUGUUCCCGCGCAGGUUCAAAUCCUGCCGACUACG